rnacentral:rRNA from 2 species
CCUACGGGAGGCAGCAGUAGGGAAUCUUCCACAAUGGACGAAAGUCUGAUGGAGCAACGCCGCGUGUGUGAUGAAGGGUUUCGGCUCGUAAAACACUGUUGUAAGAGAAGAAUGACAUUGAGAGUAACUGUUCAGUGUGUGACGGUAUCUUACCAGAAAGGAACGGCUAAAUACGUGCCAGCAGCCGCGGUAAU